AUAACUCAAAGCCCAUAAUCCUAAAAACCUAGCUAAUGCCCUUAACCUAAAACCCUAAACCUAAAAUAUCCCUUAGCCCUAAACCCUAAACCCUAACCUAAAACCCCUAAAUCCUAAAUUUAAAAACCUAAGAAACCCUACACCCUAAACCUUAAGAAACCCUAAAAACCAUUAAAAACCCCUACAAUACCCUAAGCUCUAAACCCUAAAUCCUUAAAAUCUAUAAAUCUUUAACCUAAAAAACAC
rnacentral:lncRNA from 1 species